rnacentral:piRNA from 1 species
UGCCAGUGACCUUCGAGUGGAAGUGC